UACAGUCGUUUUUUCAUAUUAUCCAUUUAUUAAAUUUAGAGUUAACUAUUAUAAUUAUUCUGAUAAAGCAUUGAUUCUUUUGUUUUAAAUUCGCUAUGCACUAACUGCAUUUGUGUUUGUUUCUUCUGUCAGGAAUUAAGAAUCUGAAAUUAUUAUAUCAAGAAAUCUUUAGACUUAAAACAAAAUGCAUGGCUUUCGGUCUGAAUUGACACACGAUCUAGUCCAUUACAAGAGUACAGCACCGGACAAUAGUGGAAGACGAGACAUAUCGAGAAAGUAUAUUUUUCUUUCUUUUUAAGGGCAUUGUUUUGUUGGCUGAA